UUUAUAUUUAUCAAAUAUUUCCUAAGAAUUUAGAAAAAUAUACGAAAAUAUAAAAGCAUAAAUGGAAUUUUUAAGAAUUUUUAUAAAUUUUGAUGGUUCGGUUUAUUCUAUACUGGUUGGUCCUGGAAUUAUAGGCCUAUGGGCAUUUCUGGAACAUAAUUUUUUCACACUAAUACUGUAUCAGUAUAUGAACAGCCAAAUUCAAUAUUGUAUCAUUAUGACGUCAGUCGUUAUUAUAUCUUUGUGGUGUUAUUCAUUGUCACAUUUUUCUACGUAUUUUAUGAUGUCAAACGUUGUAAUGCCAUGGUGAUAUCAUUAACGUAUUUAGGACGUCAGAAACUUGUACGUCAUAUAUCGUUACCUUAUUUGCUGAAUAAUCAUUAUUAUGUUAUUGUGACUUCAAGGAUUGUAGCUUCGUGCCCUAUUCCUUAAUUUUUACUCUUAAUCUUAAUAGCAUUUCAAUCUUAAACUAUCUUAGUGAAUGAAGGACCCAACAAUACCCAAAUUCGAACAAAAUUCUGAAGAAUCAAACAAACAUUUACAUCGAAACCUCUGAGCUAAUUUUUAACACGUUUUAUGUUGUAAUCCCCACAGGCAUCCUGAAGAUCUGCCGAAUUUUCAAGAGCUCAUUCCGAUUUUAUGGAGACUUUGGCUGCCAACAAACGCAUAAAUAUUUCUUCUUAUUGUUAUAGAUCAUAAUUAGAUAGUUAAAAAUAACAUUACUUCAAUAACAUAAUAAAAAUUUUAUUCGAUGUGUGCUCGAGUCAGAAUGCUUUUACUGUUUGUUAUAUUAACCAAUAAGAGAAUCUUUACCUUCUAAUAUUUAUUCAAUUAAUUACGAUGUUUAAAUUAAACGAUUUAAAUUUGUUAAAUAGCAUAACAGUAAGAUACAACAUUAAUGAAACAAAUCUGAUUUACAUUGAAUUAAAAUUGAUGGAAAACAUUUAUAACUUGUG
rnacentral:lncRNA from 1 species